CUCAGGAGCGUCCGACAUCUUCACGUUUUGGGGCUUAGAGAGUCCCAAGGAGGUGUCUCCCUCCCAGCAGCUCUUUGACCUGCCCUCCUCCCCCCACUGUCCCUCCAGCCCUCCUUCUCCACCUGUCAUCUCUGGGAAGCAGAAGGUGGAUUUAGAGAGGAGGCUUGAGGCACUGCAGCUGCAGAUAACCAGGUUGGAGUGUCGUAUGUUAGCAGACGUGGGGACCAUCAUGCAGCUGCUGCAGAUGCGGAUGCAGAUGAUCCCACCAUCCUACAGCACCCUGACAUCGCCCCCUAACUUACUUUCCUCCCCUAUCCUGUCCCCCACUGCCCCACCCACAGACCAGUCACCAUCCACUGACCCCCAGCAACAACAAUCUAAUGAAAACCAAGAUCAAGUUCUUCGACAUGUCCCAGAAUCCACUGAAUCCACUUCAUAUCAGUCACUGUUUUCUUCCCCCAACCUCCCCCAGAACAGCUCCACCUCUCCACCCCUUCCUCAAACCUCCAGCCAGUCUUCGUCCUCUGUCCAUCCUCAGACUAGAAGCCUGAGUCUAGAUCCAGCUCCCAGCGAGGCCUGAUCAACCAGUCCUUUGUGUCAGGACACAGAGCUUAUCCUCUGUCUCACAGGACCAGUCCGUCUGUGGACAAACCGUCACUGUCCUCCCACCAUCUGUCAGUCAUAGCUUCACCAAUCAACCAAUCAGAAGAGGGCCUCGCCCCUGCUCAGCCCAACACAGAAACAGCAUCUAGCCGAUCAGAGCAGCCCGGGAGCCCGCUGUGCCUGUCAUCAUUGGACAGUGGUGUCACCACACCGCAGAGUCUGCUCUAGACUGUGUGAACAUGCUUCUGCAGAAGGAUUUACAUCUGUCAAAAUAUAGAUCACAGUAAAUGACCAAAAACAAAUCCUGGAUCAAACCCACAUUUUAAAAACACUUUAGGGUGACAUACUUACACAAAUGCACCAAGUAGAGGUGGGCGAUCCUUUGCAGCGGCAAGGGUUCAAAUCUGACUUGUGGCCCUUUGUUAUCAUCCCGCCUCUCUUUCCUGUCUAUCCACUUUCACUAUCAAAUAAAGGGAAAAGCCCCCAAAUCAAUCUUUAAGAAAAAGUUGCUAAAAGAGAGGAGACAAACAAUUUUCUAUGCUAUGUCUAUGUUAACGUUGGUUUUGGAAAAGAAGGACAGACUGUGAAACAGUUAUGUGGUUCAAGAGUAUCUGAAUGGUGUAGAAUAAAACAGUAAUAGUAGUCAAGCAGUUGUAAAAAGCGGUUUGGGUGAUGGUGUUGGUCUUUGUUCUAAAAGGUACCAAGAUCACAGCGUGUGUUCCGAUUGCCUAGUAGUUCCCUUCGAAGUGGACUGCAUAGCAUAUCCCACCAUUUUAAGUAAGACUCCAAACCGUAGGGAGCAAACAGGCUCUGUUCAAAAAGAACUGCAAAUUGUGCAUGGAAGAACUAAACAUUGGUUCAUCACUUCGCCUGAUCCUAGCAAGCAAGAUUACCCAUCAGUCUCAUUAAAAACCAAAGCGAACAUCUUAUAAAUGAAUCAAAACACAUCUAUCCACAAGUUACAUACAUUUCAAUAGAACAAGUUUUGUAAUGGUAUCAGUUUUUGUUUCAGUGGAGUAAAGUUCCCACAGUAGCAGCAAUUUAUCCAAUGUGUUUACAUUACCAGGGUAACACAGAGAGGAAGUGAAAUUGUGUGAGUGACAUUGUGGUGUAUCCCAGUGGAGGAAUUUUGUUGAGUAGGAGUAGGGAGAAUUGUUUAUGUAAACUGUGGAUCAGAAUGCAGCCAUAGUUUUGUUUGUAUAGAAACAUUUCCAAGGCAAUUUUAUGGUGUAUGCAAACGGAUGAGAGUUUCUGGGAAUGUCAGUUUUUUACAAAUAAGUUGAUGUACGACAGAACACACAGUACAUCCAUACAUUCUAUUGUUAGUUUGUUAUUUAUGCUGUCAAACUGCAGAACUAUGAUACUACAACUAUGAUACAACACUAAUCUUAUUAGGUGGCUCAUGGUAUAGUAGGGGUGACUGUGGCUCAGAUGGUGUAGUGGGGGCAGCUGUGGCUCAGAUGGUGUGGUAGGGGCGGCUGUGGCUCAGGUGGUGCGGUAGGGGCGGCUGUGGCUCAGGUGGUGCAGUAGGGGCGG